rnacentral:pre_miRNA from 1 species
AAUGAUUGUCUCUUCUAGUGAGUGGGGUUUAGUGUCACAGUUGUGUGAAAUUUGUGACUAGAUCCACACUCAUUAACAGCGACAGUUU